rnacentral:rRNA from 1 species
UUGGAGGGCAAGUCUGGUGCCAGCAGCCGCGGUAAUUCCAGCUCCAAUAGCGUAUAUUAAAGUUGUUGCAGUUAAAAAGCUCGUAGUUGAAUUUCGGGAUCAAUACGUCGGUCGUGCUUUUUUGGUAUGCACUGGCGUCAUUGGUUUCUCCUUUCUGACGAACCAUGAUGUCAUUAAUUUGGUGUUAUGGGGAGUUAGGACUGUUACUUUGAAAAAAUUAGAGUGUUUAAAGCAGGCAUUAGCUUGAAUACAUUAGCAUGGAAUAAUGAAAUAGGACGUUCGAUCCUAUUUUGUUGGUUUCUAGGAUCAACGUAAUGAUUAAUAGGGAUAGUUGGGGGCAUUAGUAUUCAAUUGUCAGAGGUGAAAUUCUUGGAUUUAUUGGAGACUAACUACUGCGAAAGCAUUUGCCAAGGAUGUUUUCAUUAAUCAAGAACGAAAGUUAGGGGAUCGAAGACGAUCAGAUACCGUCGUAGUCUUAACCAUAAACUAUGCCGACUAGGGAUCGGAUGAUGUUAAUUUUUUAAUGACUCAUUCGGCGCCUUACGGGAAAC